rnacentral:tRNA from 1 species
ACUAUUUUGGCAGAAAAUUGUUAUGAUUUUAGAAUUCAUAUAUAUAUAUGUUAUUUAAUAUAUAGAUAGUA